rnacentral:rRNA from 1 species
AUGUUUGCUCUCGUGAUGUUCCUGUCACACCUCCGCGUCCAUGGCGUCUCCGUGUCCGUGGGCAGCAGCACGAACGUUACUACAGAGACAAGCCACCACCGCGGCAGGUGCCACAUCAAUGGCUUCGUGCAUGGCAAAUCCGGCGACUGCAACAGGGAUCACGGCUCGGUCUGCUGUAAAGACGGUCACUGCUACCCGCAAUUCAGGUGCUCGCCCCCGGCGUCGGCCGACACGCCAGUGAUCCUAACUCUGGACAGUUUCGCACGAGGUGGAGACAGCGGCGGCAAAUCGUUCUGCAACAACCGCUUCCACAAGGACACCGAGCUGGUGGUGGCCCUGUCCACGGGGUGGCUGCGCCUGGACGGCAAGCACAGGUGCAACAAGAUGAUCCGCGUCAACGGGAACGCGCGUGCCGUGCUGGCCAAGGUCGUCGACGAUGCGACUCGGUGUACGGCUGCGACGCCGAGCACAACUUCGAGCUACCGUGCCCAUACAAUGACGUAG